GGUCUGGUGGUGUAGUUGGUUAUCACGUCAGUCUAACAGCUCAAGAGCCUCACCUCUCUCGUCUCUGCCACACUGAAGGUCUCCGGUUCAAGUCCGGGCUAGAUCA
rnacentral:tRNA from 1 species